CCUACGGGUGGCAGCAGUGGGGAAUAUUGGACAAUGGGCGAAAGCCUGAUCCAGCCAUGCCGCGUGUGUGAAGAAGGCCUUCGGGUUGUAAAGCACUUUCAGUGGGGAAGAAAGCCUUGGGGCUAAUACCCUCGAGGAAGGACAUCACCCACAGAAGAAGCACCGGCUAACUCCGUGCCAGCAGCCGCGGUAAUACGGAGGGUGCGAGCGUUAAUCGGAAUUACUGGGCGUAAAGCGCGCGUAGGCGGUCUGAUAAGCCGGUUGUGAAAGCCCCGGGCUCAACCUGGGAACGGCAUCCGGAACUGUCAGGCUAGAGUGCAGGAGAGGAAGGUAGAAUUCCCGGUGUAGCGGUGAAAUGCGUAGAGAUCGGGAGGAAUACCAGUGGUGAAGGCGGCCUUCUGGACUGACACUGACGCUGAGGUGCGAAAGCGUGGGUAGCAAACAGGAUUAGAUACCCUUGUAGUC
rnacentral:rRNA from 1 species